UUAAAUCAGUUAUCGUUUAUUUGAUAGUACCUUACUACUUGGAUAACCGUGGUAAUUCUAGAGCUAAUACAUGCUAAAAGCCUCGACUUCGGGAGAGGCGUAUUUAUUAGAUAAAAAGCCAAUGCCCUUCGGGGCUCCUUGGUGAUUCAUGAUAACUUAACGGAUCGCAUGGCCUUGCGCCGGCGACGGUUCAUUCAAAUUUCUGCCCUAUCAACUUUCGAUGGUAAGGUAUUGGCUUACCAUGGUCUCAACGGGUAACGGGGGAUUAGGGUUCGAUUCCGGAGAGGGAGCCUGAGAAACGGCUACCACAUCCAAGGAAGGCAGCAGGCGCGCAAAUUACCCAAUCCCGACACGGGGAGGUAGUGACAAUAAAUACUGAUACAGGGCUCUUUUGGGUCUUGUAAUCGGAAUGAGUACAAUUUAAAUCCCUUAACGAGGAACAAUUGGAGGGCAAGUCUGGUGGACAAUCAGCUCCCAUUCUGCUGACGCCAGAGAUAGUCGGACGCCCCGCGCGCGGGGUGGUAUGCCGGCUAGUCGAGCACCCACUGUCUUGAUGGGCGGGUGCCGGCGAGACAACCUGGAUCGGGGGAGGCUAAGGCGCAGCGUCCGCGCUGUGCUAGGCUGAUCCCGAGCAGAGCUGUCGCGGGGCGACCCGCGAUUACAGCCUGUGUAGAGCACGGAAAGGUGUCGGCUGGCUCACUGAGCCAGCUUGAGGGACGUGCCAUACCCACCCGAAAGGGUGGCCGCCAGCAAGAGCGCCCAUCACGCGAAGGCUGGCGGGGCUGACCUGGGUCCCCAGGCGGCGAUUCGAAAGGCCAGCAGCCGCGGUAAUUCCAGCUCCAAUAGCGUAUAUUAAAGUUGUUGCAGUUAAAAAGCUCGUAGUUGAACCUUGGGCCUGGCUGGCCGGUCCGCCUCACCGCGUGUACUGGUCCGGCCGGGCCUUUCCUUCUGGUGAGCCUCAUGCCCUUCACUGGGUGUGCUGGGGAACCAGGACUUUUACUGUGAACAAAUUAGAGUGUUCAAAGCAGGCCUUUGCUCGAAUACAUUAGCAUGGAAUAAUGAAAUAGGACGUGCGGUCCUAUUUUGUUGGUUUCUAGGACCGCCGUAAUGAUUAAUAGGGAUAGUCGGGGGCAUCAGUAUUCAAUUGUCAGAGGUGAAAUUCUUGGAUUUAUUGAAGACUAACUACUGCGAAAGCAUUUGCCAAGGAUGUUUUCAUUAAUCAGUGAACGAAAGUUAGGGGAUCGAAGACGAUCAGAUACCGUCGUAGUCUUAACCGUAAACUAUGCCGACUAGGGAUCGGGCGAUGUUUCUAUCUUGACUCGCUCGGCACCUUACGAGAAAUCAUAAGUUUUUGG
rnacentral:rRNA from 1 species